GGGCCAGAGCACGCCAGUUGUUUAAUAGGUCACAAACCACUUCACCUAAAUGAAAAUAGCUUCAUUUUCAUUUAAUGUUCACGUGCACCUUUGAGUUGCGUGGGCUGUCAUUGGGUUGCUGGGAAGUGUUUCAUGUAUAUACAUUUCUCAAGAAUCACAUACUUACAGAAUAGGUACAUCUUGAACAUGAAGGACUGGGUUCACCCACCUAAAUGUGUGCUGCCUGGCCUGGGGACAUAACGAUCACCUGAUGUUCCUGCUUGAGCCAACAGCCAUCCCCAGAAGGUACGUGACCAGCAAACGCAAUCACCAGAUAGUCCAAGAUCUAUUCAGGAGGAAUUAACCAUUGAUGGAGAAUGUGAAUGAAAAAACUCUGUCUCUCUCCACCAUCCUGGGUGCAGGAAGAGCAACAGAACGGGCCGUGGACAUCAGAAAUAUCUGCAAGAAACUCAUCUUGGAGGCAACGAGGGCAUCAGAGAAGUCACCAAAAUUGACUGCAAAUGUACUCAUGCCCCUGCUGUGGUCUGUUUGCAGAUGUCUAUCCCUCUGGCGAUGGCACAGCAUAUCCACGAGGCUUCGUGCUCAGCUCCCCGCCACUGCCCACCCCAUCUCCCUGUAUCUCCAUCACCCUUCACCACAGCUACAUUACACUCAUGCUGUAUGGUUGUUUCCCUGCUCCUGGUCCUCAGUCUCCCCUACCAGCGCACAGUGGGUGAUCAUAACCAUUGCUCCUGGAUGUACAAAGACUGCUGUUGUGAAUGGUUUUCCCUCCAGCAGAGCACUGCCCCAUGGCUCAACCCACAGAGAGAGCAACUCCUGGAAAGUGGGACAUUUGUUCUGGUGGGGCAGGUGGCCAGGGCCCCUUACCAGCUCCCCCCUGUUGCUCUGGCUGUCCGACCACCUGACCACGUGCCGAGACACAGACUUCCCCUGAGGCCUCCCGAGAGCUUUGGGCCUCUAUCACUGAGCAGAUGGGUGCUGGAGCAUGCCCAUGGGGAGCUGGUACCAGUAGAGCUGCAAUGAGUAUUUUGGAGCAAUUCAGUCCUUCCCUGAAUGAAAUGCUGUUCAUUGCCAGGCUCUGGCUCCUAUUGUCACCCAGUGAUGAAUGGGGCAUCAGCGCGCUGUAAUACUCUAUUUGUUUUAGAGGUCAGUGUCAGACUGAAGGGUAUUCUUCAUAAACCAAAUCAGGGAGUUUGUGCUUACGUGACCAGAUUGGUAAGAGUAUGUGAAACCCCCAGUAACUCCCAUUGUCCUGAAUGGGAACAGAGCUCUUUUGAAGAUCUUACCCAUAAAUUAUCUGCCAGCUCCCCACUCGUGCUCUAAUUCAAAUACAAACUCACAGGCGAUGAGCUUGUGCUGCUGCCGAAGAAUUUUUGCUGUCUGGGCCCAUGGUUUGGUCCUGCAGGAAUCACACUGUCCAACACCGACCCCCACCCCUUGCACAAGGACAUCACAAGCUGGCUGGUGAAAUUCUUUGUUUUCCUUUUCAUCCCUUCCUGCUUCUGAGCAUCAUCUACUCUGAUGUGACAGCCCGCAGGGGGAUGUGCAGCAGAGGGGGCAGGGAGCAGUGGCUGGGAAGCCAGCAUCAGUCAGGAUGGGAGAAUAUCAUUUCUUCUUGCUUUAAAAAUAAGGCUGUUAAGAUGGUUCCUUUUCAUUUAUUUUCCUGGCGAGUUUGAGACUAAUAACACCUUUACCCUAGGAGAACAUGCAUCAGGUCAGUGUUGCCAGCUAGGACACAUGGAGCAUUCUGCUUAAACCCUCACCCCUCUUGUUCCGUGGGCAUAGGGAGCAAUGUUGAAGCAAUGUCAUCAGUCAAAGCACAAGAGACUGGGUGAUCCACCCAAUUGGUGUUCGUGGAUGAAACAGAGCAUCUGGCUGCUCGUACACCCCUUUCUUACUUGUCUGCAGCCUGGCAUAUUUUACAAGGAUGAAUUGGUCACUGUUUGUUGAGAGCUGCUACAUGCCCUUAGUGUUUGCCACUCUUCUCUGCUGGCACCACUGCUACCUGGGAGAAAAUGCACUGAAUACAUGAAACCCCCCCUGUCCAGGGCCAGUGUUAAGUUCCAACACAAACCCAUGUGAAAUCUAAAAUCUGCAUCAGAUCUGCAGCCCAGCAGCGCUCCUUUGAGCCCCUGAGUGACAGACACCCAACACACAUGCGCAUCAGCGAGGAUGCAUGUCUUUCUGAAGAGGAAUAUUUUAAACAGUGCAAAGCCCCCUCACUCCUUGCUUUCCCAGCAAAGAAUGGAUUACAUUGCACCAACUGAAACACAGCAUUUUUUGCAAUUAAAAAAACAAAUAAUUACAGAGCUCAAUGCCAUGAAGCUUGAGAUGCACUGAAAUGACAUGUAUUACACAUACAUACAUGAAGAGCAGAACAUACUUCAAAACAAAUUUCCAGAAUUGAAUCAAAAUUGACUACACGCCAAAACAAAAACAUCCUGAGAUAAUUUUUCUUCUAUCUGAUCGCAUAAUGAGAAAAUACUUGUUUUCCUUACAAUUUAGAAAGACAACGUGUUUCAUAACAUCAAAGUACUACAGAAUCUGAGUCCGCUGUAUCUUGGCUUGGUACUGCUCUCCAGCUCAGAUGUUACUGCCACUUGAACACCAGGGGAUGAAGCCUGUAAAUCCUUUAUCAUUAUAGAAGAAUGUCAAAGAGUAAAUGCACUUCAAAAAUACCAAGCAUUAAAGGGGAUGCUUUACAGGAGAUCCUAGGGCCCAAUUCUGAUCUCGUUACUAACUGCCCAUAAAAGAAGGAAAUAUUCAGGGCAGGAAGAGUGCUUUCAUAAAACCAUAGAAUCACAGAAUCAGGUUGGAAGAGACCUCUAAGAUCACCAAGUCCAACCUCAACCCACUGUGUUCACUGACCAUGUCCCUCAGUGCCACGUCUCCAUGGUUC